rnacentral:rRNA from 1 species
ACUUCAAGAGCACAUGGUGGAUGCCUAGACACUGUUAGACGAUGAAGGACGCCGCAGGGUGCGAUAAGUUUCGGUGAGGUCCCAAGCAACCUUUGACCCGGAAAUUUCCGAAUGGGGGAACCCACUCUCUAUUGGAGAGUACUGUACAGUGAAUACAUAGCUGUAUGGAGAAGACCUGGUGAAGUGAAACAUCUCAGUAACCAGAGGAAAAUAAAAUAACAAAAGACAUCUUUUUUCUUACCUUACCUCGUCCUCGCAAGAGGCGCGGGAUAAGGUAGUUAAGAGAUGUUAUGAUUCCGUUAGUAGUGGCGAGCGAACGCGGAACAGCCUAAACCUAUAUCUGUGUUGAGCGUAGGAAAAAUUGUCUUUUGACUUCUUGGACUACGUUCUUAAAGGACAGACCGUUGCAGUAUAGGUGUUGUAGGACGUAACGUCGGUUAUCUGUUAUACCGGUUACUUAUAUACAUAUAUAAUCAAAGACUCCUGGAACGGAGCACCACAGAGGGUGAUAGUCCCGUAGAUGAAAUAAAUAUAUAUAGGUAAUGUUAUGUUCCUGAGUAGGGCGGAACACGUGAAAUUCCGUUUGAAUCUGUCGCGACUAUGCGAUAAGGCUAAAUACUAACAGUGAUCGAUAGUGAACUAGUACCGUGAGGGAAAGGUGAAAAGUAGCCCGGAGAGGGCGGUGAAAUAGUACCUGAAACCGUGUGCUUACAAUGAGUUGGAGCUCUAGUCUAUAUCUUCGGAUAUAGGCAGGGUGACAGCGUUCCUAUUGAAGAAUGAGCCUACGAGUUAUUCUUUGUGGCAAGCUUAAGGACCUAUGGUCUGAAGGCGUAGCGAAAGCGAGUCUUAACCGGCGAUUAAGUAGCUGGCACAUAACCCGAAACUAGGUGAGCAAUCCAUGGCCAGGUUGAACUCUGUCGAAAGACAGAGGGAGGACCGAACCCACGCACCGUGCAACAUGCGGGGAUGAGCUGUGGAUAGCGGAGAAAUUCCAAUCGAACCUAGUAAUAGCU